ensembl:lncRNA
CUAUAGAGUCCUCCAUGGAGAAUCCUUUGCCUCGACUAGUUUCCCUGGAAAGAAAACGGUACCCAUCUAAAAGAGCACACUGUCUCCUGGAUGCUGCCAGUAUUCUGGGGUGGACUUUCAGAUAUCCAGGUCCCAGAAAUCCACUCCAACACCUCAGAGAAGUCUUUAUUGUGGUCCUGGAGAUAACACAGAUGGAUACAGAUCAACUUCACUCCUGCAAAAUGCUUCAUUGAAAAAAAUCACAUGCUCAAAUAUGUUUGGAAAACGUGGCAGAUUAGAACUUCGUUUUUGGAUGUUCACACUCUGUAGUAAAGUAUUGAAGACUUUGAAAAAUCCCAUUUAACUCAUUUUCCCCAAGCUACUCACUUAAAUUUUUUCAUGUAACUUUAUUUUGUACCCUG